rnacentral:rRNA from 1 species
AGAGUUUGAUCCUGGCUCAGAGCGAACGCUGGCGGCGUACUUAACACAUGCAAGUCGUACGAGGAUCGUCGGUGUAGCAAUACAUUGGCGGUUCGAGUGGCGCACGGGUGAGUAACACGUGGGUAACCCACCCUCGAGACCGGGAUACCCUCUCGAAAGGGAGGCUAAUACUGGAUACGUUCCUCGGGACGCACGUUCUGGGGAGGAAAGGUGGCGAAAGCUGCCGCUCUUGGAGGGGCUCGCGGCCUAUCAGCUAGUUGGUGAGGUAACGGCUCACCAAGGCUAUGACGGGUAGCUGGUCUGAGAGGACGACCAGCCACACGGGAACUGAGACACGGUCCCGACUCCUACGGGAGGCAGCAGUGGGGAAUUUUCCGCAAUGGGCGAAAGCCUGACGGAGUGACGCCGCGUGGGGGACGAAGGCCUUCGGGUCGUAAACCCCUGUCAGAGGGAAAGAAGGGUGUCGGCGUGAAUAGCGCCGGCAUCUGACGGUACCUUCAGAGGAAGCCCCGGCCAACUCUGUGCCAGCAGCCGCGGUAAGACAGAGGGGGCAAGCGUUGCUCGGAAUCACUGGGCGUAAAGGGCGCGUAGGCGGGAUGGCAAGUCGGUCGUGAAAUCCUUCGGCUCAACCGAAGAACGUCGGCCGAUACUGCCGUUCUUGAGGGAUGCAGAGGAGAUUGGAUUUCCCGGUGUAGCGGUGAAAUGUGUAGAGAUCGGGAGGAACACCGGUGGCGAAGGCGGGUCUCUGGGCAUCUCCUGACGCUGAGGCGCGAAAGCGUGGGGAGCAAACGGGAUUAGAUACCCCGGUAGUCCACGCUGUAAACGAUGACGACUAGGUGUGGGGGGGGGUUAGUCCCUUCCGUGCCGCAGCUAACGCAUUAAGUCGUCCGCCUGGGGAGUACGGCCGCAAGUUGAAACUCAAAGGAAUUGACGGGGGCCCGCACAAGCGGUGGAGCAUGUGGUUCAAUUCGAUGCAGAGCGAAGAACCUUACCUG